rnacentral:rRNA from 1 species
AUGGCGCUCCCGGCGCGCUCCCUGGCUAUGGUCCGCCUGCUGGCUACAGGCACCCCGGGGCGAGCUCGUCGUCCUCGCCGGUUCCUGCCUGGGACAUGGCCUCUCUGCAGGCCGCGCUUCACAGCGCCACCGCCGGGCCGUCGUCUUCCGGCACCUCCCAGGAAUGGUACCUCGACUCUGGGGCCGCGUCACACAUGUCAUCCUCGCCUGGACCUUCGAACCAAGGCGGUGAUCCUCCGAUGUAACUCCGGCGGCGAUCUCUACCCUGUGGGCCGUCCCUCGUCUUCCUCCUCACGGUGGUUUGCUGGCACUGUCACGAUCGAUCUCUGGCACCAGCGACUUGGGCACCCCGGGCGCGCGUCGUCAGCAGCUCUUCCGCUUGAGUUCACCAAGUCCACGCCGCAUGUAUGCCAUGCAUGUCGCGUUGGCAAGCACAUCCGUCUCCCGUUUGAGUCGUCUAGCAGUCAUAGCAUGUUUCCUUUUCAACUCUUGCAUCUUGAUGUAUGGACUUCACCUAUUAUAAGCAUAUCUGGCUAUCAGUAUUACUUGGUUAUCCUAGAUGAUUACACGCAUUACGUCUGGACCUUUCCUCUCAAGCAUAAGUCUGAAAUCUUGCAGAUUCUUGUCGAGUUUUUUGUUUAUGUUCAGACGCAAUUUCAGUUGCCCAUUUUUGCUUUACAAACUGAUAAUGGGCGUGAGUUCGACAAUGCUGGGGUGCGCUCGCUUCUUGCUCGCCACGGCGCUCACUUUCGCCUCACCUGUCCAUACACUAGCCAACAUAACGACAAGGCUGAGCGUGUCCUCCGCACGCUCAACGACGGCGUUCGUGCCCUGCUUGUUCAUGCCUCCAUGCCCGCCCGCUUAUGGGCCGAGGCACUCAGCGCUUCCACCUAUCUUCUGAACCGUAGACCAUGCCGUUCCAGCUCACCACGCUCACCCCAUGAGCUUUUGCUCGGCGUGGCCCCUGACUACACACUUCUCCGCGUCUUCGGCUGCUUGUGCUACCCAAAUCUCACCGCCACCACCCGCCACAAGCUUGAUCGCCGCUCCACGGCCUGUAUGUUUCUUGGGUAUCCUCCGGAUCAUCGCGGCUACAGGUGCUUUGAUCCCGUUACACGGCGCGUCUUCACUUCCCGGCAUGUGGUGUUUCAUGAGACGGUGUUCCCCUUUGCCAGAACCUCACCCGAUGACACCACUCCGCUGCCACCUCCUGCAAGCUCGCCGCCAGUUUUGCAGGUCCCGCUCAACGUCGGGAGGCCUGAAGUGCCUACGCCACCGCCUACUUCCACUACGGCGACGCGAUCAUCGCUGGACGCCUCGUCCACCCGCGCGGCCAGUCCGCCCCGCUCGCGAUCAACCGCGCCCGUCCGCUCUUCAUCGACCGGCGCGGCCAGUGGAUCGGCGGCGGGGGGCUCUGCCUCGAGCGCGCCCUCGACCUGA